GUGCUUGUUUCAGCAGCACAUAUACUAAAAUUGGAAAGAUACAGAGUAGAUUGGCAUGGCCCCUGCACAAGAAUGACACACAAGUUAAUGGGCAGCAUGGAUGGUGU